rnacentral:rRNA from 1 species
UACAGAGGUCUCAAGCGUUGUUCGGAUUCAUUGGGCGUAAAGGGUGCGUAGGCGGCGCGGUAAGUCGGGUGUGAAAUCUCGGAGCUUAACUCCGAAACUGCAUUCGAUACUGCCGUGCUUGAGGACUGGAGAGGAGACUGGAAUUUACGGUGUAGCGGUGAAAUGCGUAGAUAUCUGCAGGAACACCCGUGGCGAAAGCGGCGAGCUGGACCACUACUGACGCUGAAGAACGAAAGCAUGGGGAGCGAACAGG